UCUCCGUUGGUGAACCAGCGGAGGGAUCAUUACAGGACUCGCAAGACUCCUUCACCCUGUGAACCUCACUACAAGCACGUUGCUUCGGCGGGUGUCCCGGCGGGGGUUUUCCCUCGCCGGGGCGCACAGCCCGCCGGCAGCCUACUAUACUCUGUCUCUUUGCGUUGGCAUCUCGAGAAAAAACAAAUAAGUUAAAACUUUCAACAACGGAUCUCUUGGUUCUG
rnacentral:misc_RNA from 1 species